rnacentral:rRNA from 1 species
GGGCCCGCACAAGCGGUGGAGCAUGUGGUUUAAUUCGAUGCAACCGCGAAGAACCUUACCUACUCUUGACAUCCAGAGAACUUUUCAGAGAUGAAUUGGUGCCUUCGGGAACUCUGAGACAGGUGCUGCAUGGCUGUCGUCAGCUCGUGUUGUGAAAUGUUGGGUUAAGUCCCGCAACGAGCGCAACCCUUAUCCUUGUUUGCCAGCGAGUAAUGUCGGGAACUCCAGGGAGACUGCCGGUGAUAAACCGGAGGAAGGUGGGGACGACGUCAAGUCAUCAUGGCCCUUACGAGUAGGGCUACACACGUGCUACAAUGGCGCAUACAGAGGGCAGCCAACUUGCGAGAGUGAGCGGAAUCCCAAAAAGUGCGUCGUAGUCCGGAUCGGAGUCUGCAACUCGACCCCAUGAAGUCGGAAUCGCUAGUAAUCG